CCUCAUUUUCCUUUCUCUUACUAUACCUAAAAAUCUUCUUAACAUCCUUCUAAAGUUCUAAACCUCGGAGAUCUAGGCGAAGUUCUGUCCGUAACGCUAGCCUACGAAAACCUUUUAGGAAGCUAACAAUUUCGGUUGUUUUAUCAAGACGCAAGGUAAGAGGCCCCAAAUAUAAAUCGUUGAUGAGUAUACGUGGAGCCAACAUGACUGUACAUAUGGGGCUGACCUGAAGGGAGUGGAGUUCUGCUAUGCUAUUUUAUAAAUAAACAAGAAACUUGGUUUUAUUAUAUUUCAUUAAAAGUAUUUUGUGAACUUUAUCAUUUACUUAAAGCUUUAAAAGUAUUUCAUGAACUUUGUAAUUUACAUAAAGCUUUUCAAUUUAUCAGUUGGAUACAUUUUCAUUUCUACGUUAAGGUGUAGUAACGCCACGAAAAUGAUUUAUAAAAGUAUUAAGAUUUGUAUGUAAGAUAAAGUUUUUAUUUAGUUGUGAGUAUUGUGUGGU